AUUAUAAAUAUUUUAAAAUAUUUAAACAGAAUAUCGGUAUUGACAAUACUGAAGACCAUGGCAUUUCGGAUGGGAGCCAAUCAAGUGAUAAAGGAAGUGGAAUCAUAUUUGAAGACCUGAUGAUGCAUAAAGAUGGCUGGGAAACUGAGGGAAAGAGUGAAGCAGAAUUAUUCAAUUUCUGGAAAACUGCAUGCAAAGCCAGAGGGUCAACACAUUCACCGUUAUAUUUUCAUUAAUAUAAAAUUUUAAAAACUAUAUUAUAAUUUACUAUUAAUUUUUGUAUUUAAUUUAAUACUCUUAAUUAUAAUUGUAAUAAAUUAAAAAAAAUAACUUUAUUAUUCAAAUUUUAAAAUUUUUAAUAUAAAUAUGAAUUAAUAUAAAUAUUUAAAAUUUUUUAUUUAAUAAAUAUUUUAAAAAAUGAUUCUAUUGUAUGAUAUAUAAGCUCUAACUUUUUAAAUCAAAAUUAAUUAAGACAUAUAAAUUUUUGGAUGAUUAAUUAUUAUUCAACAUUUAAAUUUUUUUCUAUUACUAAUAAACCUCAGAACCUAUCUAAAAGGACGUUAAUACAUGCUUUGAAUUCUUCGCGCCAGGUGUCAGCCAUGGCAACAUUCUUGUUGCCAGUUGCCACCUCCUCUUGCUCUCUCUCACUCUUUCCGUUUAAAACUCUAAAGAUUCUAUGGAUUUUGCUCUCUCUGUUCUUCAAGUGGGAUGAGUAAAGACAGUAGAUCUAAUCGCCUACUUUCCUCAGCAAAUGACUAUCCUUAUGAUCUUCGUCAGUAGACCUUUCUCUCUCUGCAAAUGGGUAUUUACGUUUGCUCUGAAAACCUUGUCUAUUGUGAUUAACACUUGGGUGGAGUUGAUUGUAUCCUCUAUCACUUUCCAUCUGAAUAUGUUCCACAAGGCUAUGAUAUGGAUGAUUGCUCUUAUUUCUCUUCCUAUGCAAGUUUUGACUGCCUUGCAGAGGGAACGCCUGGUUAGUUACUCAAUCCUCUCUAUCUCUCUCUCUCUUUCGCACUUACACACACAGUCAUUAGCAAUGUAAAUUUGUGCCGCAUAUGUUCAAUUCAAGAUUGGUCUUGUACCCAUUUAGCAGCGUCCUCUGAAAAUUGCAUCACAAUGUUUAUAUGAAAUAAAAUUGCAUCUUUUGGAAGAACUUUAUAAUUUCUAGCUUGUUUUGGCUUCAAUACCACUGCUCCUAUCAACAUUUGAAGUUAAAAAAUUAGCUGUGGAAGUUUCAUGAGAGUUAUAAUUAUUAUUGUUGUUGUUAUUAUUUCUUACUGAUUUCAUAUAUAAUAGUGUAUGUAUGUAGUAGAGUUUUCCAAAUGCUCUUUUAAGUUUGAUAGGAGCUAGACCAGGGUUUUAAAUUGCUGUCGCAGCCACGUUCGUGGUUGCUGUCGCGGGUAACAGAAACAACAGCCUUAUAAAAGUUGUAACGAAAUGGUAACGGCUGGAGAUGUGCAAAUUUUUUUAAAAAAUUUUGCAAAGUUUAUGAAAAUAAGUAAAUAUUGAUAGAUAUAUGUAAGAUUAAGAUAUAUAACUAUAUAAUAGGUAUGCACACAUCAAAUAAAGACUACUAAUUCUGACACGGAGCAACUAGUCUCGGCAGACUUAGAUCCGGCCUAACUUUUGCUGCGGACGUUCGAGAGGGCCACAUGCCCGCCCGUCACAAAGUUAAAUAUGAAAAUUCUAUUAUUUAGGGGAUUAAUUUUGCAUUUUAAUUAUUUUUUGGAUAUUUUUAUAAUUUUGCAUAUAAGAUUUUUCGGUUUCUACCUUAUAUUUUCUCUUAUAUCGUCUCAAUAGUCAUUUAUCAAAUUCAUUCUUAAACAUCAUCAAAUUUUCCCUAAUGUAUAGCUAAGAUAAUUGCGUUGGUAGCAAAAAAGCUAAAAACUAAAAGCAAUAAGUAACGAAAGCAGAGGGUUUAAGUAUAACUUUAACAACAAAACUAACAUCAACGAGAGCUUUAAUCAAUAAAUAUUUAAAAAAGGACUAAAACUAUGAGUAAUGAAAAGCAAAAAACAGAAAAGUUAACUCAUCUUUUAGAAAAACUAGCUAGAUAUUGUUUGAUGAUUCUUAGCUUAAUAGGAGAGAGAAGAAAUUUGAGUGAUAAAUUGAGAGAUUGUGAAGGAAAAAACACCCUGUUGCUAUCUAAAGCUUGCUGGAAAGAAGAAAAUGGCAGAUUGCAGUGUUGCAUGUGAUUGUAUGAAGGCCUUUGCCUUUAAGUAACAGUUGGUAACGACAGUAAAAAUCCCGUUACAUGACCUAACGGCCAUUAUUUAAUUCCAUGAGCUAGACUGUCUUAGGUUCAGUCUUAGAAUCAUAUUAUUUCAAGGUAAGUGGUAAAGGUUUUUGUAUUUUAUGAACUGUUCCUUCUGUGGAUUUGUUGCUGUAUUUUUUAGCUGCAAGAGCAUUUGCAUGAGAUGCGGAUUGAGUUGGAGAGUCUUGUGUGGGAUAGGAAGGUAUUGCAAGACCAACUCCAUACAGCAAUUAAAGAAUGUAGAAUUUUGGAAGCAAUGCUGGCAGAAGUUGAAGAGGAAAAUGACACUGUUAUUUCCAGAAUUGACUUGCUAGAGCGUGAGGUUGUGAUUUUAUCUUUCUUCAAGCUUGUUUUUUGUUUUUUUUGAACAGAGGAGAACUUAUGUUUAUAUUCCCAUGCUUUCUGGAGUAAUGUUGGCUGUUGAGAUUUAAAUUUUAUUCAUAAUAUUACCCAUUUAUAAGAUUAUUUUUUGCAACUUGCUUUAAACCUUUUGAAGAGGUAAAACUAGAGUUUGUUUUCUUCAAAGCAUGCAUUAAGGAGAAGUAGCUUCAUCAUUGUGAAAGAUCAGAUAGAAGUUAAGUUCUAAAAUGAAGUUUUACAUAGAAAAUGCCUUGAUGGGAUAUUGCUACUCUACAGUCAGAUGAGUCAAGUGCUUUUAAUAGAACUCCCUUUGUAAGGAUAUUGCUACUCUAACUGCUACCUUAGGUUCUUGAUCCUUAAUAAUCUUAAUCAUCAAAAGUGAGUUAUACCUACAUCUUUGUAUAAAGAAAAGAUUCAUAAUGUUUUAAAAGAUACUUUAUGAAUAAAAACUAAAAGAUCACAUACAUUCUUUUUCCCAAGAUGCUAGCAUCUUCUGAAUAGGUCCUCACCAAUCACCAAGUGAAAGGAUUGGGCUGCAAUUAGAGUUCAGGCUCCCCUAUAGGGAGGGAGAUACAAUCAAUCAUUCUUCCUCUCUUACUGAAAUCUGAACAGUUCAAAGUUGAUUUUUGAGAGAGAAAUUGACUUAGAAGUGAUGCAACAGCUAGGUAAAAUGGCAGGAAGAAUAGUGGAGAUUACAUGUGCAUGGCCCCAUCCUUCAUCUUCAUUGAAUAUUGAGAAUUCAAUGGGUUCAACUAUAUGAUCCUUAUGAGGUUAGUCAGAAACACCUUUCAUCUAUGCUGUAAUAUGGACUUUAGUUAUGUGUUCCUUUUUAAGAUAAUGCCUGCUAUUAUGUGCUUUCUAUCCACAAUUUUACGCCUAAAUGGCAUCUUCUUUUAAUCAAUUGUCUAUAGAAGUUUGGAAAACCUGGUCGGCAGGCUAUACAGUUUGUCUAAUGCUAGGCAUUGUUGUAGUAUCUUGUCUAACUUCAUUGUGUCACUUAACGUAUGGAAGAAACUUUAUCGUCUUUAACUUCAAUUAGUAUACUAUAAUCAAGUCUCUACAAAUACUCUAUAGUCUAUUUCCACCUGAAAAUUGCAUUGAAAAAUUACCUUGUGGAAUUAUAGGCAUGUCCAUCUUUUAUACACUGGAGAGAGUUUACAAUUUGGAAUAUAACUCCUUUUCUUCAUCAGUUGUCUUAGGAAUGAAGUAUUGGAAUUGGCUUGUGCAAAAUUCUACUAUUGUCGGUAAAUCCAUUCAAGCAAUGAGUAAACCAUACUUUCCGUCGAUUCUUCAUAUUGUGAAGAUUAUAUAUUUUUUUUAAAGGAAACUCCAUUGAGCUAAUUAUCAGAAUCUUUAGAUAAUUCUUUUCUAGCUGAAUUUUGGAUUGAUUUUAGCUCCAUAGUCUUAAGAAGGUCUUUUGACAUAUUUACUAUGAUAAUCAAAUCAGAAAUUCAGACCAUUGAUCAAUACUUGAGAACCUUACUGCUCUUGUCUCUUUUUUUUAACCCCCUCUAGUACUCUUUCUUUCUCAUAAGCAGAAUAUUUCUUCCCCCUCCUUUUCCUCUGUUUCGUACCUUACCUGAGUUGCAAUGUCAUUUUUAAGAAUUUGAUGUCUCAACUAACCAGCAACAACAGAAUUAAGGCACCCUUUCUUAAAAUAAGUUUAUCAACCAAGAAUAAGUUGUGGCAAUGCAACAAGCCCAAGUCAAUGUAUAGUUGAACAUUAUAUGCAGAAAGUUCUGGCAACCCCAGUUAGAAAAUUUGGCACCAAAAGUGACAAGUGACAUAAGUGAGGAAUUAUAGCUUUCAAUUGCAGUCCAGUUAUCAUGACAUACCCGGUAUACAAUGAUAGCCAUGUAGCUGAGAGAUGAAGAUGAAAUUUGGCAAAGAUCAUGAGAGAGCAGCUGUGAGAAAAUAUAAAAAGUUGAUUCAGGGAUGUCAGUAGGUUGUGGAAAUGGAGAUUGGGAGAAAAAACUCUAUGUAAACUAGAAGUCUGAGGAGCUUCUUCAGUUAGUAUUAGUUGAGUGCAACUUCACAUGAGAUCCCUUGUUUUUGAGCUAUAAUUGCAACAACUUAUCAAGAAUAAACCAUAUCAUUCUCUCAAGAGUUAGCUUGAAUAUGUGGGAAUCGAUUUGGUCUUGUUUCCUGACUACCUUGAUUUUCUUUAUGACUCUGUGUAAUGGCAGGCAGUACUAAGAUUUUAGCUCUGAUGCAUACUUGAUUUAAAAUAAAACCCCAUCCGUCCUAGAAAACAAAUGUGCAAAUUUACAUAUUAAACUUUUUGUUCCUAUGAUGUUAAAAGAAGAAUAAGACAAGUGAAUAGGACCCUUCUGACCAAGUUUGAGCCACAAUCCAUUUCUUUUUCUAUGAGGAGGUGAGUACACAGCAUGAAAUGCACUAUUAUCUUAUUACAUUUUUGCCUUUCUUUCUUUACAUCAUUUGUCCAGUUCAAAGAAUCCUGAAGCUUUUGAUUUUGGGUUCUUGUUUAUUAGUAUCCAUAAAUUUUUUCCUUAAUAAUGUUUCAUUCAGUUGGCCAUUGACCUCUGAUGAAGCUAGUCCUUAGCCCAUGCAUGUCUUCUGUGCUUUACUAAUUAAAUGAUUUUAUGCUUUUCAAUAGUUACAGGAUCUGAAAGCUGAAAAUCUUCAGCUGAAAGAAAUUCUGGACAAAGAUCAUCGGAGCCUUAGAGGACAUAAACAGAAUAUGGGUAUUGACAAUACUGAAGACCAUGGCAUUUCGGAUGGGAGCCAAUCAAGUGAUAAAGGAAGUGGAAUCAUAUUUGAAGACCUGAUGAUGCAUAAAGAUGGCUGGGAAACUGAGGGAAAGAGUGAAGCAGAAUUAUUCAAUUUCUGGAAAACUGCAUGCAAAGCCAGAGGGUCAACACAUUCACCGUCACAUUGUAUUAUCACAAGGAACUUGGACAUGAAUGAGGGUGU
rnacentral:lncRNA from 1 species